rnacentral:rRNA from 1 species
UAUCUCUGUAGAGUCUGCAUAUCAAUAAGCGGAGGAAAAGAAACUAACAAGGAUUCCCUUAGUAGCGGCGAGUGAAGCGGGAAGAGCUCAAAUUUGAAAUCUUCAAGGUUUUACCUUGACGAAUUGUAGUUUAAAGAAGUGUUUUCUGUUGGAGUUUUGGUAAAAGUUCUUUGGAAUAGGACAUCAUAGAGGGUGAGAAUCCCGUAUUUGACCACUACUUCCAGCGUUGUGAUACACUUUCAAAGAGUCGGAUUGUUUGGGAAUGCAGUCCAAAAUGGGUGGUAAAUUUCAUCUAAAGCUAAAUAUUGGCGAGAGACCGAUAGCGAACAAGUACCGUGAGGGAAAGAUGAAAAGAACUUUGAAAAGAGAGUUAAACAGUACGUGAAAUUGUCAAAAGGGAAGCGUUUGACACCAGUGUUGUUUUUCUGAAAAUCAAUUAAAAAUGGCUUGAUUUUGUGUUGUAUUGACCUUAAAAGCUUUCUUCACUUCUUUCAUGUCUUUUUUAAUGCACUUUUCGUUUAACAAGUCAACAUCAGUUUCUUUUGUUGUAAAAAGGUCAUUGGAAGGUGGCUUUCUUUUCGGAGAAAGUGUUUAUAGCCUUUGACUUCUGCAAUCGGAGAGACUGAGGUCUGCAGCGUAGAUCCUUCUGGAUUAGAUUCAUUUGUGCUAAGUUACAACCGUUUAUAGACAACUUGUUGACUAUAUUCGAUCCUGUAGCUUACUCGCUUAUGUAAUUUUACCUACGCUUAGGAUGUUGAUAUGCAUGACUGAUAU